UGGGGAAUUUUGCACAAUGGGCGCAAGCCUGAUGCAGCGACGCCGCGUGAGGGAUGAAGGCCUUCGGGUUGUAAACCUUUUUCGCUCAUGGUCAAGCCGCAGCUUUGGGUAGUGGUGAGGGUAGUGGGUAAAGAAGCGCCGGCUAACUACGUGCCAGCAGCCGCGGUAAUACGUAGGGCGCGAGCGUUGUCCGGAAUUAUUGGGCGUAAAGGGAUUGUAGGCGGUUGGCCGCGUCUGCCGUGAAAUCCUCUGGCUUAACUGGGGGCGUGCGGUGGGUACGGGUUGACUUGAGUGCGGUAGGGGAGACUGGAAUUCCUGGUGUAGCGGUGGAAUGCGCAGAUAUCAGGAGGAACACCGGUGGCGAAGGCGGGUCUCUGGGCCGUUAAUGACGCUGAGGAGCUAAAGCGUGGGGAGCUAACAGG
rnacentral:rRNA from 1 species